ensembl:lncRNA
UUUUUUUUUUUUUGGUAAAUUCUUUGAGUCUUCUACCAGGCAGCAGAUUCACAUAAACCCAGUAGAGAAUUUGAAGGAAAUCCUUGGUUCCUCUUGCACCAAGCUCAAAUUGCUAGCUGGGUCUAGGGAAUUUUAUGGGGAUUGAAAGGGAACUUACCUUGGAAGCUUUCCAUCUACUUGUGUAUCUGCAUGUGUACAGAUGGUGAGAGCUCAGGAGCUCUCCAAAUAUUUGCUAGUUCACACACACUAAGACAGCUCUGCUGUGACUCAGCCCUCAUGAGCCUGUAGCUGGAGAGAGCAAGGUUUUCUUCUUGCUUCAAGUGCCUACAAUUCAUUAGGAUGCAAAAUACAUCCCCAGGUGAGCUGGAUAAUUCAGAUGGGAGAAGAAGUGAAGACUUCCAAGUCACCUCUCAGACUGCUGCAACAUCACUGCAACCUUGCAGGCUGGGUUAUACCAUCACAGGGGCAGUGCAACACCAUCCAUUGUGCCAGUUGUUUCAGAACACUGAGUUUGAAAACCAGAGAGAGAGUCAAGCUGUGCCCCAGAAAACUCCUACAAUCUAAGCAGUCAAAAUCAACAGAGCCGGGAGUGACAACGAAGCAGUUUACUCCAAAGUCCCAUCACUGGCCUGUGCAAAGACAGAGAGACCUUACAGAGGCAGAGUGGCCAAGACAAUCCUGCCCACUCGGUCACAGUGUGCAAGCACAGUGGCCGUGUUUCUGGACAGUGCAGCAGAAGCAAGUUAUUGUGCUUACACUAUGUAAGAAGUAAUAUUAUGCCUUGCACUGAAAAAAACCAAAAAGCUGCGGAAUUUACAGCCAGGUAUUUCUAAGAUGGAUAUGAAAAAAUUGAGACUGAAAGUCUCUUAGUUUUUAUUUUAAAAAUGCAGCUUUUUCAAAGUUUUCAGAAAAGGCAAAUUUAGGUUACUGCCUGAGACAGAUGCGCAGUCUGAAGAAAUGCUCCUUUUUCCUGAUGGUAUUAUGCUGCAAGAUACUGGUGCUCCUUGCAGCUCACUUUUGCACUUAAACACUUACAGUUCCCACAAGCUGGAUGUCUGCAACUAAAAGCAAGAAAUGAAUUCACAAUUCCAUUGCCAUUAAACAACGCUUUAAUAGAUAAGAUUUACUUCUUAAGAAAUUCUCCAGAUCUCCUACUGGAAGAUGACCUUGUAAAAGCACAUGAAUGAAUUAUACAAAAGGGCUGAAUUUGUCUCCCUUUUCCUCGCAGAAUUCACUGGAAAAACGGAAACUGCUGUAAUGAGAGCUCUAAACUACCAUUGCUCAAAUCUGACUUUAAAAUUUGGUUUAUUUAGAACAUAGAAAUACACAUGAAAUUUAAUCAGCAUCUCAAGUCACAUUAUGUACUCUCUGCUCGACAGGAACUGAGCACAUAAAUUAGCUGAACUGGGAGCUAGUCCCAGAUCCAUCCCUUCUUGACUACAACACCUCUUGCUAGGAACUUCCAGCAGGGGAAGCUCUUAGCACAUCAGUAUCUUCAUACUUUAGGCGAGAGCAAAGUUUAGUCAAGACAGAGCUGGGGAAAAGGAGGGGGAGAGAACAGAGGAGGAGGAGGAGGGGGGCAAAGAAAUAAAAAAAUCAAUAGUUUCAUACACAGUAGUAUCCGAAAACUAGAGAAAAAAAUUAUCAGGUGCCCUUGUUGCACCAUAGAAGUUUAAAUCACAUAUAGAAAUGGUAUGUAAGAACAGAGAGACUGAGAGUAUUUUUGUAUGAAACUUUGUGGCUUACAAUACUCCUUCUGUGAGGGAAUGGCGUCCAGUUUGGGACUGACAGGCAGGCUACAAUCUUUGUGCCAGCACACUAAUCCCUUGUCUGUGGGUUACUGAAAACCUUCUUGCAUUUUUGUUCUCAGUUCACCUUGCUGAAAAAAACCCCAAUUCCACAUAUGAUAAAUCCAGUGUCUGCAGAAAGGCAGUCACCUAAUUGCACAGUGAAGCAGAAGAAAGCCUUGCAAAUGGUAUACAAUUUUCAAAGUGUUCCAAGCCUUAGGCAAAAGCCUUUCAACUAUGUCUAAAACUGAAUGAUAAAAUAUGUUGUACAAAUUAUCUGUGAACAGGAAACAUGUGGUAGUGGCAGGGGACUGAAAUGUAACACUUGUAAAGAAAUGGGAACUGCCAGUCAUUUAUACCCUUUUACUUUUCUCUCAGUCACAAGUUCCAUGAUAUUUUUUUUCACCAUCAGUUGAUAUUCAAGUUUAUAAAAAGACAUUUAUCAGAUCUCACUAGGCCAAUUACAGCUUUGUAGCAAAAAUAACAAGAAAUUAUAUCCCAUAUGAAACUAAAGGUUUAGUUUCGUCUCUUUCUUCAUACUUUUAUGGAAUUUAUGUUUUAUCAUUGCAAGGAUGUGUGUGGAUGGAAUUCUGAAAGAGUUUCAGUACUGCAGAAAUACCUGGGAUGCUAGUUUUCUGCAUGUUAGACUAAAGUAAUCAAAAGUUGAGAAAACUUUCUAAAGUCCUGUCUAUAAAGCAGGAUUAAAAAAUAGAGUGAGAAGAUGAAAAGGGAAAUGCACAAUUACUGUUCAGCAGGAAUAAAAAUAACCCCACACUGAAACACCUAUUCUGAAAGCUCAUUUCUGCUUCCUUGCUCCUAAAGUUCCUGCUGUAAUGGUGUAUCUUAUACUUUCUCUUUUUUAAAGAUGUAAUCUUUAUCACCAAUACCAACUACUGUGCACUGUGGUCCUCAUUGAUGGAAUUUUUUAUAGAUUACCUCCAGAAGAACACUUCAAGGGUGAGGGGUGACAAAACAAAAACUUUUACAUUUUCCUUCAUCUUACACAACAAAAAGCAAACAGUAUUGCCAAGUAUCAAGAAAUAUAUGGCAUAAGUUAAAUAUGAGAUUUAAAUGUAGUGCUUAAAAAUGCCACCUGCAAGCAGCUAGAUAAAAAAGACAAAGCCACAAAACAAAACUAGAAUUUUUAUCCAUGAUAUUGUUUUAGAUAACUGGGUAUGUUUAUGUCUUAGCUCUUAGAAAGAUUAGAAAUACAUCGAAAUAUAUAUAAAUACAUAGAAAAGUGUGUGAAAGCCCAUUGACAAAGGAAAAAUCUUAACUGACUUGCUGAAAGACACUCUAACCCUCAUUUAAGACUGUAUUACUUCUGUGUACUGCUGUCCUAAUUAGACCACAUUAGGUGUCCUUGGUUUACUGCAGGGCCAGAGCCAUUCAUGCCCAUUGUGAUGACAUGGCUGGUGUAAUUUGGUGAACUGGUGAACAUGCAACAUUAGUGUCUGUCAAAUUGAUUUCCUGCUGAUAUUUCCCGUUACGUAUAUGACACGGGCAACUACUUGAGAAAAUAAUUAAAAUUUUGUUCAUGUCUGAGAUAAAAAAGUCUUUCUUUCACGAUCUGCUAAGAGAAACUUUCAGAGGCAAAAGAAUUAAAGGUUUUGCAGCAUUCUGAAAGACUAAUGAAGAGGUUGUGUGAUUUGAAGGUUAGCUCAUUGGGCUUGGACUCAUUAACAUAACUAGGCAAACAAUAAGGUGGGUUUUUUUUGAUUCAGUGAUCAAACCUGAGCAUUGGGGAAAAUCUCAAGCAGAUCUUUAAAAACAGUUUUGUAGUAAAAACCAAAACAAAGCAAAAAUUUAAAUAAAGAAGUGCUUUACUUUAGGAUGUCUUUUAAAUAAAAUUUGGAUUCUGUUUCUUGGAAGACUGGAAAUUAAAUCUUUUAAAUAGAGAAGGCUACAGAUUUUAUUCUGAACUACUUUAUCUGUUUUCAAAGCGCUAUUCUCUUUAAAUGUAACACAAUUAAAUCUUUGUAGCCCAUUUCCAUAUCUUCCUGUCCUAUUUUCUGGCCAUGAGUAUUUCCUGCUGAGAAUUUGAAACUAGAUUUACUCCCUGUAGCUGUGCCUCUACAGCAAACCAAUAAAUCCUCCUCAGCCUUGGUCUCAAGUUCAGGGUGGGAUCUGCUAGAGAUCACACUGGCUGCUUCCUAUGGUGCAUGUCUGGAUUCACUUUGCAUGAAAACCAGGAAAGCAUGAAGCAAUGAUUGAGUCUGUUUGACUUUUGCAUUGAAGUAGACCCAGACAGAUCUGGGAAGCAUUCCUGGCUUACCCACUAUCACCAUAAGUUUUGAAAUAUUGAGAUUUUUGUUUAGCAGCUUUAUUAUUAAGCUAAAAAGUCCCAGUUGCUGAGUUUUGAAAUAAAUGUCCAGUUCUAUUAUGUAAUAGCUACAUGACUUCUGGUCAGUGUCUGUAUUUCUGGGCUUAAUUUUGCCUAUGUGUACAAUGGGAACAAUAAUAGCUGCUUCCUUUGAACAGAGCUUUGAAAUCUUUAGGAAAAAAGUGCCAUAUAACUGUAUUUGACUGUACCAAAUCAUCUGUGCUUUUUUUCUUUCUCCUGUUAGUUCCCAUUUAACUCUAGCUUUCUUACAAGAACAGAGUAAAAUUUCUGCUUUUGAAAACUUUCUACUUCUACCAUUCCACAGACCUAAGUUCCUAAAUUUAUGGACAAAAUUAAAAACCCACUGAAGACUAGCAGAUAUAAAAAUAACACUUCUAGAUUAGGACAUGGGCAAACAGUUGAGUGCUGCAGUCUAGAAGACUAUUUGGACCUCUGUAGUGAUGCUCACCCUGUUCUGGCACUCUUCCCUCUGCACCUGAUACUGUAAGAUGUCCUCAACCAAAUUUCAUUCUUAAUUACUCAAAUGGGUCACCUCUUUCCAUCCAAGAAAGUACUUUCCUGUUAUUUCCAGUGUAAGCCACUCUGACAAAGAAGCAGAAUUCCCAGAAGAUGCUGGGAUUUGGCCUCCUGUUGGUGCUCUGCUGGAGUGCUAGGCCUCUGAAAGCAUGCUCCAGGCAUCCUUUAAACAAUCCAUAUGCAUGGUGAUGCUCUUCUGCUCCAGUUGCUCAGUGAACUCACUGGCCUCCUGUGGCAUUUCCAAAAAUACUUGUCCAUCAUUCUUUGCAGGAGCUUCUGUACAUUUGCCACAUUGAACUGCACCUUCCUCUGCCAACAAUGAGCCCAAAGUCCAGCUUUAGCUCUACACUGAAACCCCAGGAACUGAAAUACAAAUUUGUCCUCCUUCAGGAAUAAUACUGUCCACUUCUGAGAGACGUGGUAUUGGAUUUGUGGAUUCUUGGCUCUGACCUGGUAUGGAUGUUCUUACAUUCCUUACAUCAAGUUCCUAUGUCUUUGGUGGGUUCUCUGGGGAAUGAAAACAGAACAUAUUCACUUGGUAGUUUUUAUAUCUAACUUUAUCCCUAAACACACAAGAACACAUGAAACAACAAGUACACAAGUUAUAUUCUUUCUUUGCAGGCCAUCCUCACUUUAAGACUAUCAUCUCUUAGUGAUCCUAACCAAUUACUUCAGAGUAAUGAUAUCUUCAGGGAGCAGACUGUCUUCUUUCUACUGAGGAAUGUGACUGCUUUUUAGGGGAAAAUUAUCUUUCCGUCAUAGAGGUGUAAGCAGGAGAAAAAUUGCAUAUACAGUGCAACUCCUAGUGACUUUUUAGAGUAACUUUUAGAGGCCAACAGUAUCUUACUUGGCUUCUGGUUGCCUGUAAAGAAAUGUGUAGUGCCCCUCUUUCUACCAUAUCUAGCCACCCCAUUAAAAUGUUUCUAGUACCUUGGCUAUUGCUAUUUAAUUAUUUGGCGUUUCCUGUUUUCUGUUUAACUUAAUAAUGAUUGCAAUUAGUCUGGUUUUGUGGGCUUUGUUUGGUUUGUUCUUUUAUUUGUUUUUAAUCAGAACUCUCAAGAGGAGCACUCUCAAAACUGUGGCACACGAACCAGUUCCGGUCUACAAAUCACAUUUCAUUUAUUGUAAUGGGCCAAGGAACUGUAUGACGUUGUCUCUUGACCUUGUUCCAGAUGGCAAGUGUCGCUAAAAACACUCUGAAAACUCCAAAUACUUGCUUAAUAUCACAAUUGCUGCAGUUGCAGUGAAAUGCUAUGUGACCACAAAUGGGAAGAGAACUGGUUCAAGACUUGACCUCCCUAAUAAGAUGUGUCAUUGCUAUGAUAAAUCCCUGUAUGGUGUGUCAUGUGUCCAGUGAAGGGAAAAAUAUGAAUCUAUUUUCAGGUGUGAGGAAUUUCCUUUGUGCUGGUGAAGAUGGAAUAAUGCAAAGUUGCCACAGACAAAAAGACAGCUGCUUUAAGUGGGGUUCUCUGAACAGACCAAUUCUAUCUCACCUAGACUCUGCUGAAGGAAGAUGGAGCAAAGCCUCUGUGCCACUUGAAGGGCAUGUCACUAUAAA